CGGGCUUCGCGCAACUGGCGAUCAGGGCGCCCUGACCGGAGACGGAUCUGUCUCCGGCGCAGGCGUCGCCCGAGGUGGGCCACCACCGGGAAGCGCGAACGGCCGGGGAUCUCCCUGGCUGUCCGUGCCGUUCGCCUGGGCCGCCGUC
rnacentral:ncRNA from 11 species